rnacentral:rRNA from 1 species
AUUGAACGCUGGCGGCAUGCCUUACACAUGCAAGUCGAACGGCAGCACGGGUGCUUGCACCUGGUGGCGAGUGGCGAACGGGUGAGUAAUACAUCGGAACGUACCUUAUCGCGGGGGAUAACGCAGCGAAAGCUGUGCUAAUACCGCAUACGCCCUGAGGGGGAAAGCGGGGGAUCGAAAGACCUCGCGCGAUUAGAGCGGCCGAUGCCUGAUUAGCUUGUUGGUGGGGUAAAAGCCCACCAAGGCGACGAUCAGUAGCUGGUCUGAGAGGACGAUCAGCCACACUGGGACUGGGACACGGCCCAGACUCCUACGGGAGGCAGCAGUGGGGAAUUUUGGACAAUGGGGGCAACCCUGAUCCAGCAAUGCCGCGUGAGUGAAGAAGGCCUUCGGGUUGUAAAGCUCUUUUGUCAGGGAAGAAACACCGGCUCUAACACAGUCCGGGAAUGACGGUACCUGAAGAAUAAGCACCGGCUAACUACGUGCCAGCCGCCGCAGUAA